rnacentral:rRNA from 1 species
CCUACGGGUGGCAGCAGUGGGGAAUCUUGCGCAAUGGGCGAAAGCCUGAUGCAGCGACGCCGCGUGAGUGAUGAAGGUUUUCGGCUCGUAAACCUCUGUCAGCAGUGAAGAAAGGUCGCUGUGCUAAUUAGCCUUUAUUUGACGGUACCUGCUUAGGAAGCCACGGCUAACUCCGUGCCAGCAGCCGCGGUAAUACGGAGGGGGCGAGCGUUAGUCGGAAUUACUGGGCGUAAAGCGAGUGCAGGCGGUUAGACAAGUCUGAGGUGAAAUCCUUGGGCUCAACGGGAGAACUGCAUUAGAAACUGGUGAACUGGAGUGCGUGAGAGGAUAGUGGAACUCCAGGUGUAGGAGUGAAAUGCGUAGAUAUAUGGAAGAACAUCAGUGGCGAAGGCGGCUAUCUGG